CACAUUCUUUAUCCCGUCUGACUUGACGCUGGCUGAAACUGCCCUUUAGUCUGCAGCAUUACCUCCGCGGUCCAGCCGAAAAACAAUGAUCCCUGAGCAGCAACAGCAGCCGCGGCCGCAGCCUGGGCCCCGAGCAGCAUUCCCUUGCUCUGUCGGUGAGCCAUGAGUAUGCCACCGCUCCGGUCUCCUCGUCCCAGCCUCACCGACGCUCGUUCACCACGUGCAAGAUGUAUUUCAACCGGAGAGCCAAGAAGAUACACAGUGAGGGAGAGCAGUUAGUGUUGACCACCAUUAGACAGGAGGCUUCUGAACUGCAGGACCCAGGCCAGGUCGCCGGCGCUACCAUGCGUGCCUGCAUCACAGACAGGUUUGAAAAAACCUCACCUCUCUCCCAUCAAUCCAACGGUGCAGGACCUGCUUGCUCGUCCGCCGGUUACCGCAAGGCAGAUGAUGAGAUGUCCGGGACUACUUCCCAGGCGGAUCCCGUAGACGCCACGGCGCGGACGGUGCUGCUCAACCGGCCACAAAAUACCAAGUUCUGCGACAACCAUGUCAGUACCACCAAGUAUGGGAUUCUCACCUUCCUUCCCCGGUUCCUGUAUGAGCAGAUCAGGCGGGCCGCCAACGCCUUCUUCCUCUUCAUCGCUCUCAUGCAGCAAAUCCCUGAUGUAUCACCGACCGGUCGCUACACCACACUCGUCCCGCUCAUCUUCAUCCUCACUGUGGCCGGGAUCAAAGAGAUCAUAGAGGACUAUAAAAGACACAAAGCAGACAACACAGUAAACAAGAAGAAGACAACAGUGCUGCGGAACGGAGCCUGGCAGACGAUCAUCUGGAAACAGGUGGCAGUAGGAGACAUAGUGAAGGUGACCAAUGGCCAGCACCUUCCAGCUGACAUGGUUAUUGUGUCCUCCAGCGAGCCGCAGGCCAUGUGUUACACUGAGACCUCCAACCUGGAUGGAGAAACCAACCUAAAGAUCAGACAGGGUCUCCCACUUACAGCUGGUGCUCAGAACCUGGAGGAUUUGAUGUUGCUGUCUGGUCGUUUGGAGUGCGAAGGCCCAAACAGACACUUGUAUGACUUCACUGGCACACUACGGCUGGAGAACCUCAAUCCAGCUCCGCUGGGUCCAGACCAGGUGUUGCUGCGUGGCGCACAGCUCAGAAACACGCAGUGGGUUGUGGGAAUUGUUGUCUACACUGGCCAUGACUCCAAACUGAUGCAGAACUCCACCAAAGCACCACUGAAGCGCUCUAAUGUGGAGCGGGUGACCAACAUGCAGAUCCUGGUCUUGUUUGGCAUCCUGCUGGUCAUGGCCCUGGUCAGCUCUGUGGGUGCCGCCAUCUGGAACCGAGAACACACUGAAGAUGCCUGCUGGUACCUGUCCCGGGCUGGUGAUAUCUCUACUAACUUUGCAUAUAACCUGCUGACGUUCAUCAUCCUGUACAACAACCUGAUCCCCAUCAGCCUGCUGGUCACUCUGGAGGUGGUCAAGUUCAUACAGGCCCUCUUCAUCAACUGGGACGUGGAGAUGUACUACGCAGAGACAGACACCCCUGCCAUGGCUCGAACGUCCAAUCUUAACGAGGAACUGGGCCAGGUGAAGUAUCUCUUUUCUGACAAGACAGGAACUCUGACCUGUAACAUCAUGCACUUUAAGAAGUGUACCAUUGCAGGAAUUACAUAUGGCCACUUCCCUGAUCUUGACUGUGAUCGUUCAAUGGAGGACUUCAGCAAUCUGCCGUCCAACACCAAUAACUCUACAGAGUUUGAUGACCCAACUCUCAUCCAAAACAUCGAGAACCAUCCUACAUCACCUCAAAUCUGUGAGUUCCUGACAAUGAUGGCAGUGUGCCACACGGUGGUCCCAGAGAGAGAGGAAAACCAGAUCAUUUACCAGGCCUCUUCGCCAGACGAAGGAGCGCUGGUUAAAGGGGCCAAAGGACUCGGCUUUGUCUUCACUGCAAGAACCCCGCAUUCAGUCAUAAUCGAAGCUAGAGAAAAAGAGAUGAGCUAUGAGCUACUGAAUGUGCUGGAGUUUUCCAGCAACCGCAAACGCAUGUCUGUGGUGGUCAGAACCCCCGACGGGAAGCUACGGCUGUACUGCAAAGGAGCUGAUAAUGUCAUUUUUGAACGUCUGACUGAGGCGUCCCAGUACAAAGAAUUAACUAUUGCUCAUCUGGAACAGUUUGCUACUGAAGGCCUGAGGACUCUGUGCUUUGCCUAUGUGGACCUGGAGGAAGGCGCCUACCAGGAGUGGCUGAAGGAAUAUAAUCGUGUCAGCACAGUGCUUAAAGACCGCGCUCAGAAACUAGAGGAGUGUUAUGAACUACUGGAAAAGAACUUAAUGCUGUUGGGCGCCACAGCCAUAGAGGAUCGUCUCCAGGCUGGUGUGCCAGAGACCAUCGCCACUCUGAUGAGGGCUGACAUCAAGAUCUGGGUCCUCACUGGAGACAAGCAGGAGACUGCCAUCAACAUAGGUUACUCCUGUCGUCUGGUGACACACGGCAUGUCCCUCAUCAUCGUCAACGAGGACUCUCUGGAUGCUACUCGUGCCACACUGACAGCUCACUGUUCAUCCCUGGGCGACUCUCUGAGGAAGGAAAAUGAGCUGGCGCUGAUCAUUGAUGGUCAGACGCUGAAAUAUGCACUGUCCUUCGAGCUUCGCCAGGCCUUCCUUGACUUGGCAUUAUCCUGCAAAGCUGUCAUCUGCUGCCGAGUGUCUCCGCUGCAGAAGUCAGAGAUUGUGGAUAUGGUGAAGAAACACGUGAAGGCAAUCACGCUAGCAAUAGGUGACGGUGCAAACGAUGUGGGCAUGAUUCAGACGGCUCACGUUGGAGUGGGGAUCAGUGGCAACGAGGGCAUGCAGGCCACCAACUCUUCUGACUACUCCAUUGCACAGUUCUCCUACCUAGAGAAGCUGCUAUUGGUCCAUGGGGCGUGGAGCUACAACCGUGUCACCAAGUGCAUCCUCUACUGUUUCUAUAAGAAUGUGGUCCUCUACAUUAUAGAGCUCUGGUUUGCCUUUGUGAACGGGUUCUCUGGCCAGAUCCUUUUUGAGCGCUGGUGUAUCGGCCUCUACAAUGUGAUAUUUACUGCACUGCCUCCGUUCACUCUGGGGAUAUUUGACCGGCCGUGCAGCCAGCAGAACAUGCUCCGUUUCCCACAGCUUUACAGAAUCACCCAGAAUGCCGAGGGCUUCAACACCAAAGUGUUUUGGGGUCACUGUAUCAAUGCACUGAUUCAUUCAAUUAUUCUCUUUUGGUUUCCACUCAAAAUGUUAGAGCAUGACUCUCCCUUCAGUAACGGUCAGGGAAAUGACUACCUGUUUGUUGGAAAUAUGGUCUACACGUAUGUGGUAGUUACAGUAUGUCUGAAAGCUGGAAUGGAGACCACCGCUUGGACCAGGUUUUCCCACCUGGCGGUAUGGGGAAGCAUGGUGCUCUGGAUGGUCUUCUUCGCUGUCUACUCCGCCAUCUGGCCCACCAUUCCCAUUGCCCCCGACAUGCUGGGCCAGGCUGGCAAGGUGAUGCAGUGCUGGCACUUCUGGCUGGGCCUAGUCCUGGUGCCUACUGCGUGUUUACUCAAAGACUUUGCUUGGACCACCACACGUCGUACUGUGAGGAAGUCUCUCCUAGAGGAGGUGCAGGAGUUGGAGGCUCGGGCUGUCGACCCAGGGGCAGCAGUACUUAGGGAUGCCAGCGGCCGCAGGUGGAUCAAUUUGAACUGCUGUACAGACCUGUCUAAACGAACGAGCCCAUCUGCUGACAAGAGUCUUUAGGAAAACACCUUCAAGCGUGGGACGCUCAAACUCUGUGCAGCAGACUGUGUCCCAUGGCUAUGCCUUCUCUCAGGAGGAGCACGGCGUAGUGUCCCAAUCCCAGGUAGUGCGCUCCUACGACACCACCCGCCAGCGCCCCAGCCUCUAGCCCCACCCCUGACCAAGGCUUCGGCUCACCGUAGCGACGGUUUUCAAGGCGACAGCGAAGACAGACUUAUGUGACACCCUUGCGCCGGGUGACCGACCCCUGCUGUGGCCUUACUGGAACUAUGACCUGACCCCUCUGGGGUGGGGGUCACGGUCAGGCAUGGAGGCCAUCGCUGGCGCCUGGAGGACUGACUUGAGAGAAGGGACCAGGCCGACUUUAUGGAAUAAACAUUCUUCAAAUUCACACAAGCUGCAUAAGCAUGAGCAAUCAUAUCCACGUACAGACAUGACAAGUCAAACUCAGACUGCUACUCAUAUCUGUAUAUCCCACAGACUGGGUUCGCUUCAUGCCACUGUGUGUUUGUGUGUGCGUGUGUGCCUGCGCACGCAUUCCAGUGCGUCUGUAUCUGCCUGUGCAUGUAUGUCUGCACACAUUGGCGCUCCAGUGUCUGUGUGCGUGUGUGUGUCGGCCUCCGUGUGUUAGCUUCCACGGUUCCCUCUCAUCUCUCUCAUGAGGUGAGUUUAGCUAAUCAGUCAUCACAUGCUGACGUGGGAUUGGAGGGAACGUCAAAAUAAACACACACACACACACAUGCUCUGAUGAAAAAAGGGAGGGAGAGAAGCAAAGACCAAGGACUGCCAGAGCCCUGCACUCCAGCUACAGCAACCCCCCCCCCCAUCGCCGCACCAAGCCUCACUGCCAAACACCACAGAGACGCCACUGAGGCAGAAUGCUUACGCCGUACUGGACCACCACCCUGCUGCAACCCCUCCUUCCCCCAUGGGGACUUCCUCUUUCUUAUCAUUUCUUCCUUCCUAUCUCUCCAUCUCUUAGCCGCUCUGCAGCCUCCACCUUUCUCCUCCUCCUCCUUGUCCUGGCCAGUUUUAAAAAAUCCACUUUGUUUCCUGUUGUUUCUGACCGCUCCUGUGAAUCCUGAUUCCACCUCUCUAGCAUCGUCAGCUGACAUAGAAGCAGCAAGCCUGGCAUUAGAGCUUCCUCCUUCAGUUCUGUUGGAUUUCCUCUCUUUGCCAGACUGUUCCUUUCUUUUUUCUUUUUUCUUAUUAAAGUGGACAUUAAUGUAUAUGUGUUUAUAAUUUUGUUUCUCUUUUCAUUGAUGCCUGUUUUUGUACUCAUAUGUGGAGACAUGUCUUAGAGGGAAUAUUUUACUUGAACUAGUGCUAAUAGGCAUCCAAACAGAAGGGAUCUGAUUGAGAAACUCGCCUGGAUCAUGUGUUUUUCUGGCUCUGGGAUUUGUCUGAAUGUAGAGUCCAUUGUCUGUGUGCUCUGUGUUGAGGACACUCUAGUUCAGGAAUGCAAGACUGAAAGGGUGGGAGAAGGGGGGUUGUCCAUCCGAGUCCUAAUCAUUAAAUCUAAUCAAUCCAUGGCCUGA